rnacentral:tRNA from 1 species
GGGGCGGUAGCUCAACUGGGAGAGCACCAGCUUUGCAAGCUGGGGGUUGGCGGUUCGAACCCGCUCCGCUCCA